GCGUCGCGACGGAAAGUAAACAUCUUUUGAUGGACGAACUACGAACACGAACGCGGCGCGAAUAAAUCUCGCGCUAAUCCCGUGUUAAUGAAAAGGUCGGUUAUCAAACGUACAAGAUGUAGGUCAGGCUCUGACUUCGUGAGGAUGUCAUGGCCUGGCAGUUUUGAAGAUUAAUUACGACGUCAAGGUCUUACAAUGAGGGAUUGCUCGUUAUGUAUUCGCGAGAUGUGUCGAAAUAUUAAAAAAAUCGUUGUUGAAAGUACCAUAAAAUAGGAACUUUGGCUGAAAUAAUAUCCAGAGAAUCCUGGCUACACACAUCUCACAGUUCACUUUAUGAUAGAUGAAAAUUAAUUGAUAAAAACUGACUGAUGAAAAGUGUAUCAUCAAACGCAUUGUGUUUCGCCAAAAGCGUCUGUUAAUCUACGGACGGGAGUUGAUUUCAGAAGAGAAUGUGCACGACACACGUUAGUUUCAUAAUCGCGUAUGCGUCAACAUCACGACGUAAUCCCCGAUGCCGCCCGCAUGUAAUUCACUUCUCGGAGAGAUCGGUAUUGCGAUACCGGCAGCAAAGUGCGGUGCCAGGCGUGUCCGCAAUUUGCCGAUAGUCAUCAGUUGGCAAGUGCUAACGAGUGUCCCAUAACAAUAAUUAAACGAUUAUCCCGUCGUUACGAUUGCGACGACGAGAACAAUCUGUUUUGUGUGUUAGUGAGAUUUCGGUAUCGCGUCGAGCAUAUGAUCGACUGGAGCAUACGAUAAACACAGAAUUUAAUUAAUUAUCGGAGAUCUUAAAACGAAUACGGGAUAGAUCUCGUGGCAUAGAUCCGUUUACAAUGAAAUCAAAGACGGAGCAUGCAGAUUGUCAUCGCUAUAUUUACUUACAACGUAUGCAGCACUGGCAUUUGAUUGUCGAGCAUGAUUUAUGUAUUAAACCGUAUUAACAUAAACGCGAGUUUUAAUAAAACUUUAAAAUAUUAUUUGUAC